GAGGGCAUAACUCAGUGGUAGAGUGUGUGCUUAGCAUGCAUGAGGUCCUGGGUUCAACCCCUAGUACUCCCA
rnacentral:tRNA from 1 species